rnacentral:rRNA from 1 species
GAUGAACGCUGGCGGCGUGCCUAAUACAUGCAAGUCGAGCGAACGGACGAGAAGCUUGCUUCUCUGAUGUUAGCGGCGGACGGGUGAGUAACACGUGGAUAACCUACCUAUAAGACUGGGAUAACUUCGGGAAACCGGAGCUAAUACCGGAUAAUCUUUUGAACCGCAUGGUUCAAAAGUGAAAGACGGUCUUUCUGUCACUUAUAGAUGGAUCCGCGCUGCAUUAGCUAGUUGGUAAGGUAACGGCUUACCAAGGCAACGAUGCAUAACCGACCUGAGAGGGUGAUCGGCCACACGGGAACUGAGACACGGUCCAGACUCCUACGGGAGGCAGCAGUAGGGAAUCUUCCGCAAUGGGCGAAAGCCUGACGGAGCAACGCCGCGUGAGUGAUGAAGGUCUUCGGAUCGUAAAACUCUGUUAUUAGGGAAGAACAUAUGUGUAAGUAACUGUGCACAUCUUGACGGUACCUAAUCAGAAAGCCACGGCUAACUACGUG